GCCAGCAUGGUGUAGUGGUUUAGCAUUGGACUACGACUCUGGAGACCAGGAUUCAAAUCCCAGCUCAGCCA